rnacentral:lncRNA from 1 species
AAGGCGAGUGUGGAUCUUUUAUGUCUUCGCAGGUGGCCCUAACACCUGCCAUUCUCCACAGAGGGUAGGCAAGGUUUUCUUCCAAGUGGGAAGAAAGAUGGUGGGAUAGGAUUUUUACGGAGUGUUGAAAGAGCUACUUGGAGAAUCAGAAAGAUUAGUUGUUGGGAGGCACAGAGUGAGUACUGAGAAAACCAAGGGCCCAACUGAGGCUUGAAAC